UACGUAGGGGGCAAGCGUUGUCCGGAUUUAUUGGGUGUAAAGAGCGUGUAGGCGGCUUUACAGGUCCGUUGUGAAAACUCGAGGCUCAACCUCGAGACGCCGGUGGAAACCGUAAAGCUAGAGUCCGGAAGAGGAGAGUGGAAUUCCUGGUGUAGCGGUGAAAUGCGCAGAUAUUAGGAAGAACACCAGUGGCGAAGGCGGCUCACUGGCCCGGUACUGACGCUGAGGCGCGAAAGCGUGGGGAGCAAACAGG
rnacentral:rRNA from 1 species